GACAGAGGUGGCAAGCGUUGUUCGGAAUUACUGGGCUUAAAGGGCGCGUAGGCGGCGGCAUAAGUCUGGGGUGGAAUCCUAAGGCUCAACCAUAGGACUGCCCUGGAAACUGUAUCGCUUGAGUCGGACAGGGGAAGGCGGAAUUCCAGGUGUAGCGGUGAAAUGCGUAGAUAUCUGGAGGAAGGCCAGUGGUGAAGACGGCCUUCUGGGUCUUGACUGACGCUGAGGCGCGAAAGCGUGGGGAG
rnacentral:rRNA from 1 species